rnacentral:rRNA from 1 species
UACGUAGGGUGCAAGCGUUAAUCGGAAUUACUGGGCGUAAAGCGUGCGCAGGCGGUGAUGUAAGACAGGUGUGAAAUCCCCGGGCUUAACCUGGGAACUGCAUUUGUGACUGCAUCGCUGGAGUGCGGCAGAGGGGGAUGGAAUUCCGCGUGUAGCGGUGAAAUGCGUAGAUAUCGAGAGGAACACCUGCGGCGAAGGCGGGUUGCUGGGCUGAUACUGACGCUGAGGCGCGAAAGCCAGGGGAGCGAACGGG